rnacentral:rRNA from 1 species
AGCGGCGGACGGGUGAGUAAUGCAUAGGAAUCUGCCCGGUAGUGGGGGAUAACCUGGGGAAACCCAGGCUAAUACCGCAUACGUCCUACGGGAGAAAGGGGGCUUCGGCUCCCGCUAUUGGAUGAGCCUAUGUCGGAUUAGCUAGUUGGUGAGGUAAUGGCUCACCAAGGCAACGAUCCGUAGCUGGUCUGAGAGGAUGAUCAGCCACAUCGGGACUGAGACACGGCCCGAACUCCUACGGGAGGCAGCAGUGGGGAAUAUUGGACAAUGGGGGCAACCCUGAUCCAGCCAUGCCGCGUGUGUGAAGAAGGCCCUCGGGUUGUAAAGCACUUUCAGCGAGGAAGAACGCCUAGCGGUUAAUACCCGCUAGGAAAGACAUCACUCGCAGAAGAAGCACCGGCUAACUCCGUGCCAGCAGCCGCGGUAAUACGGAGGGUGCAAGCGUUAAUCGGAAUUACUGGGCGUAAAGCGCGCGUAGGUGGCUUGAUAAGCCGGUUGUGAAAGCCCCGGGCUCAACCUGGGAACGGCAUCCGGAACUGUCAGGCUAGAGUGCAGGAGAGGAAGGUAGAAUUCCCGGUGUAGCGGUGAAAUGCGUAGAGAUCGGGAGGGAUACCAGUGGCGAAGGCGGCCUUCUGGACUGACACUGACACUGAGUGCGAAAGCGUGGUAGCAAACAGAAUAGAUACCCUGGUAGUCCACGCGGU